AUAUCAGUGGAGCACUUCACAGAAACGAGUCGUGUCAAGAAUUUAGCGUUCAUUACAAGAGAUUUAUAUACGAGAUGGCAGUACACAAAAUUGCUUUAGCUGUUGUAAUAUUCUGCGCAGCUGUCGAAGCACAGAGACCAUUUUACGCUGGACUGAGAGCGAUUGGAUACCCUUCAGUGGAAUCUAAUGCCCUAACAAACCGUUUCUCUGAAAACGAAUAUGCUCCUAUUGAAGCUAGAGGAGACCGAGAUUUUAUACAAAGAUUAAACGCAAUGCCUAUCGAUAACCAACCUUUUUGGUAUCUGAAUUGGAGGCAAUACGAGGCUAUGAGGAAUAACCCACAAACCUAUCCCAUUAGGCCUAGCCCAUUUGCACUCAACAAUUUUUGAGGAAGAAAAGAAAAACAUCAUUUAGCGAUCGUUGCCAAAGAUUCGUUUAUAAAUUGUUUUAAGCGAGUGAAAGUGCAUUUCUAGUGUAAAUUAAGUUAAUUUAAAAGGAAGAUCCAGUUUCUUUUUAAGUUUUUCAUUUGGUGCCAUAAUGUUAACUUUAAUUUUAUCUAGCAUAUUGUUAGCAAUGUAACUGUAAAAUUUUGGGAAUCCUAUAUGCUGACUGAUAAAUGUCAAGAUACUAUGUUGUUCUCAAUAAAUACUAAAUUAUAAACUAA